GCCUACGGGGGGCAGCAGUGGGGAAUAUUGGACAAUGGGCGAAAGCCUGAUCCAGCAAUGCCGCGUGAGUGAUGAAGGCCUUAGGGUUGUAAAGCUCUUUUACCAGGGAUGAUAAUGACAGUACCUGGAGAAUAAGCUCCGGCUAACUCCGUGCCAGCAGCCGCGGUAAUACGGAGGGAGCUAGCGUUGUUCGGAAUUACUGGGCGUAAAGCGCACGUAGGCGGCCAUUCAAGUCAGAGGUGAAAGCCCGGGGCUCAACCCCGGAACUGCCUUUGAAACUAGAUGGCUUGAAUCUUGGAGAGGCGAGUGGAAUUCCGAGUGUAGAGGUGAAAUUCGUAGAUAUUCGGAAGAACACCAGUGGCGAAGGCGACUCGCUGGACAAGUAUUGACGCUGAGGUGCGAAAGCGUGGGGAGCAAACAGGAUUAGAUACCCGUGUAGUCAG
rnacentral:rRNA from 1 species